CUGUGAAGCCUCCAGCUAAAGGC
rnacentral:piRNA from 1 species